rnacentral:rRNA from 1 species
AGCGAAAGCAUUAAGCAUCCCACCUGGGGAGUACGCCGGCAACGGUGAAACUCAAAGGAAUUGACGGGGGCCCGCACAAGCGGAGGAACAUGUGGUUUAAUUCGAUGAUACGCGAGGAACCUUACCCGGGCUUGAAUUGCAGAGGAAGGAUUUGGAGACAAUGACGCCCUUCGGGGUCUCUGUGAAGGUGCUGCAUGGUUGUCGUCAGCUCGUGCCGUGAGGUGUCGGCUUAAGUGCCAUAACGAGCGCAACCCCUCUCCUUAGUUGCCAUCAGGUUAAGCUGGGCACUCUGGGGACACUGCCACCGUAAGGUGUGAGGAAGGUGGGGAUGACGUCAAAUCAGCACGGCCCUUACGUCCGGGGCUACACACGUGUUACAAUGGCAGGUACAGAGAGAUGGUCCUUUGCAAGACGGAUCAAAUCCUUAAAGCCUGUCUCAGUUCGGACUGGGGUCUGCAACCCGACCCCACGAAGCUGGAUUCGCUAGUAAUCGCGCAUCAGCCAUGGCGCGGUGAAUACGUUCCCGGGCCUUGUACACACCGCCCGUCAAGCCAUGAAAGCCGGGGGCGCCUAAAGUCCGUGACCGUAAGGAGCGGCCUAGGGCGAAACUGGUAAUUGGGGCU